rnacentral:rRNA from 1 species
GACGUAGGGCGCGAGCGUUGUCCGGAUUUAUUGGGCGUAAAGGGCUCGUAGGCGGCCUGUCACGUCUGUCGUGAAAGCUCAGGGCUUAACUCUGAGUUUGCGGUGGAUACGGGCAGGCUUGAGGCAAGUAGGGGAGAACGGAAUUCCAUGUGUAGCGGUGAAAUGCACAGAUAUGUGGAGGAACACCGGUGGCGAAGGCGGUUCUCUGGGCUUGUUCUGACGCUGAGGAGCGAAAGCGUGGGGAGCGAACAGGAUUAGAUACCCUGGUAGUCCACGCUGUAAACGGUGGGCGCUAGGUGUGGGGCGGCAUUUGUUCGUUCCGUGCCGAAGCUAACGCAUUAAGCGCCCCGCCUGGGGAGUACGGCCGCAAGGCUAAA